GGAAUAUUGGGCAAUGGGGGGAACCCUGACCCAGCAACGCCGCGUGAGGGAAGAAGGUUUUCGGAUCGUAAACCUCUGUCCCAGGUGAAGAGAGAGAGACGGUAGCCUGGGAGGAAGCCCCGGCUAACUACGUGCCAGCAGCCGCGGUAAUACGUAGGGGGCGAGCGUUGUCCGGAAUGAUUGGGCGUAAAGGGCGCGUAGGCGGCCCGGUAAGUCUGGAGUGAAAGUCCUGCUUUUAAGGUGGGAAUUGCUUUGGAUACUGUCGGGCUUGAGUGCAGGAGAGGUAAGUGGAAUUCCCAGUGUAGCGGUGAAAUGCGUAGAGAUUGGGAGGAACACCAGUGGCGAAGGCGACUUACUGGACUGUAACUGACGCUGAGGCGCGAAAGUGUGGGGAGCAAACA
rnacentral:rRNA from 1 species